AUAAGUGGGGGUUGGUUGGAAGAGGUAGGUCACUGGGGGUGUGACCUAGUAGAGUGGAUCUGCCUCCCCAUUUUCUCCUCUUCACUCUCUGCUACCUGUUUGUCAUGCCCUGAGCAGCUCUCCUCUGCUGUGCCCCUCUGCCCACUAUGGACUGAAACAUGAACCAAAACAAACCUCUCCUCCCUUAAAUUCAUCUCUUUCUGAUGUUGGCAGAGACUCAAGCGAGAAACUUUCCAGGCAUUUGGAAGCUGUCACCUUUUGUUUCAAGAGUAUGGGGCAAGAGAUGUGGAGCAACAUUUCCCAGUACUGGGGAUUGAACCCAGGGCCUUGUGCAUGUGAGCUAUGGGGAUCAAAUUCAAGGUCGUACAAAUAUCAAGGAAAUGUUUUACCAAAUUCUGACAGAAAAUUAUUCUGAAUUCAGAAUUUAUACCUCAUGAAGUAUCACUUAAAUAUUCUGAAUCCAGGAUUCCAUACCCAGUUCAUCCACAAUGAAGUGAGAGCAACAUUAACA